AUGACCAUAUCACGUUGAAGCACUGGUCCUUCUACGAUCACUAAAGUUAAGCAACGUCGAGCUUGGUCAGUACCUAGGUGGGUGAAGGCUUGUGAAUACAAGGUGUUGUAA